CUCUCCUACUCGACAACAAUGCUCAUUUUAGGGGGGCAGAGUAGACAGGAAGAGAGCAACCUUGUACCACUACGUUCAUCUACUUCAACUACAACUCCCUUUAUUUCUGCAGUGUCUGAGAUGCCUCAAAAUGAAGAUGGGAAUGUCCCAAUUGCAGCCAAGGAAAAGGGGUUGAAGACAUAUUAGAAGGAAGUUAAAAGUUUGAAAAAAGAGUUGCCCAUUGUUUUUUAAAAGGUAUGCGGAUACCGUCUACAAAGGAUCUGUGGUAAGCUAAAAAACAAGUUUGAAACCUUGCUUCUUUAAAAGGUGUGUGGAUACUAUAUUUCUCUAGACUUCGGGGUUAUGAUACUCAUCUAGAAGAGUAAGGAAUUUGCCGAACGUGAAUUUCAAUUCAAUUGUCCCUUUACCAACUACAUGUAAAGGACAAUAUCCUCCUCCACCAUUUUGUAAGUCCCAAACAUGUUUCUAAUAUUAGAGACAUGUCUGAUGGGUCCUGAGUCUAUCCACCAUUCUACAGUGCUGUCUUUUGAAGUCUGUAGAAAUCUUUCUUCGGCCAUAUUGGCUGGAGCCAGUUGCUUCUUUUGAAGUCUGUAGAAUUUCUACACAUGACCGGCUUUGUUGCAAAAAUAGCAUAUCAUGGUUACCUUUCCUUGUCCUGAGCAACCUUUGGUUUGGAGCUUUGUUCCCUUUCUUUUCUUCUUUCUUCUCUUCAAUCUUGAUUCCUUUUUCAAUCUUUGGCUUUUUCUUUUUCGAACCUUUUGAGUACAUAUGCUCUUGCGACCACCUGGGACUUAUGCUUUUUCAUAUCUUGGGGUCCGGUUUCCUCUUCAAUUCUCAAGUGAGUAAUUAGUUGUUCCAAGCUCAAAUCCUUUGCAUUAUGCAUUAUCGUAUUUCUAAAGUCCUUCCAUGAGGGCGGUAAUUUAUUUAUUUUCGAGCCCACAUGGAAGCACUCAUCAAAUUUAAU
rnacentral:lncRNA from 1 species